rnacentral:rRNA from 1 species
ACAUGCAGUCGAGGGGCAGCAUCAUCAAAGCUUGCUUUGAUGGAUGGCGACCGGCGCACGGGUGAGUAACACGUAUCCAACCUGCCGACAACACUGGGAUAGCCUUUCGAAAGAAAGAUUAAUACCGGAUGGCAUAAUUAUUCCGCAUGGGAUAAUUAUUAAAGAAUUUCGGUUGUCGAUGGGGAUGCGUUCCAUUAGGCAGUUGGCGGGGUAACGGCCCACCAAACCUACGAUGGAUAGGGGUUCUGAGAGGAAGGUCCCCCACAUUGGAACUGAGACACGGUCCAAACUCCUACGGGAGGCAGCAGUGAGGAAUAUUGGUCAAUGGACGAGAGUCUGAACCAGCCAAGUAGCGUGAAGGAUGACUGCCCUAUGGGUUGUAAACUUCUUUUAUACGGGAAUAAAGUGAGCCACGUGUGGCUUUUUGUAUGUACCGUAUGAAUAAGGAUCGGCUAACUCCGUGCCAGCAGCCGCGGUAAUACGGAGGAUUCGAGCGUUAUCCGGAUUUAUUGGGUUUAAAGGGAGCGUAGGCGGGUUGUUAAGUCAGUUGUGAAAGUUUGCGGCUCAACCGUAAAAUUGCAGUUGAUACUGGCGACCUUGAGUGCAACAGAGGUAGGCGGAAUUCGUGGUGUAGCGGUGAAAUGCUUAGAUAUCACGAAGAACUCCGAUUGCGAAGGCAGCUUACUGGAUUGUAACUGACGCUGAUGCUCGAAAGUGUGGGUAUCAAACAGGAUUAGAUACCCUGGUAGUCCACACAGUAAACGAUGAAUACUCGCUGUUGGCGAUAUACAGUCAGCGGCCAAGCGAAAGCAUUAAGUAUUCCACCUGGGGAGUACGCCGGCACGGUGAAACUCAGAGGAAUUGACGGGGGCCCGCACAAGCGGAGGAACAUGUGGUUUAAUU